GACACUAUUGAGUUAUAUUAAUAUGUUAUUACAGGAGUGAUUGGGUCCAUUAUUAUGAGAACACUACUAGAGAUUUACGUGUCUAUUCUGCCUAUCCAUUGCUAGUCUAUCCAACUCAUUUUGCUGGUGAUAAAGGAUGGUACAGUGACACAGAGCCACCAAUUGAGGUACUGCAGGAGAUUUGUAAAAGAAAGUUAAAAGAAGAAGAGGAGGAAGCAGCAAAGAAGGAAAGAGAGAAAGAAAAGGAAAAGACAGAACUGUAAUGAACUACUAUUAUUAGGUGAAAUGUACAUACAUGUAUUCAAAUGGCAUAUUAUUAUUGUUGUUGUUAUUUUCAUAAUUAACAAGACAUCAUUUAAAAUAGCA